rnacentral:rRNA from 1 species
CCCUGUUAUACUUUGUAUAGAAAUGUGUGGCCGGGGUAGUAAUUAGUUAUGGGCUAUAAAUCUAAAGGAUUUGGCGGUAUUCAAGUCUAGUUAGAGGAGCCUGCACUUUAAAUGAUGAUCCACGAAUAAUCUUACUUUGUCUUGUUACUCAGUUUGUAUACCGUCAUUAUGAAGUAAUAACUAGAGUUAUUUAGCUGAAAUAGAAGAGUUUUAUUUAUAUUAGAUCAAGGUGCAGCUGAUGAUAAAGUGGUUGUGGGCUACAGUAUUAAUAUAAAUAGUACGGAUAAAAUUUUGAAAGAGAUUUUGGAAGGUGGAUUUAAUAGUAAAUUUAUGUUUAAUAAGGUAUAUUGAUAAAAGCUCUAGAAUAUGUACAUAUCGCCC